GCAUGAGAGAGUUACAGAGCGAGACAGAGAAAGAGAGGAAAGGAUAGAAUGAGUGUGAGAGAGAGGAAGGGAAUAUGAACAGAGUAUCUGAAAGAGUGUAAUAGAAGAAUAGAGCAAGAGAGCAACAUUGAGAGAGGAGACUAAGUGAGGGCUCAUCGUGGACUUAGUACUGAUCGGGGGGGUGGAAAAGAGUAGGUGUUAGAAUGAAAUGUAGUCUGCUGUCAGUUGUGGAGGAGAAAAGGAGCCGAGUACAACAGGUGCACUUAUAAAGACUUUCUGCAGUUUCUUCAAGACAAGACAACCUGAGUAAAACAAACAACCAGGCCACUGCUGGAAGAUCGAUUGAUCCCUUAUUCCUAUUUGUCAGUGUUGUCAUGGCGAGGCACUGGCGUCUGUCAUCGGAGCGCUUCCCCCCUGUCAGCGGCCAUUUUGGAUCAACAGGCGGUCUCAGGACGGAGAGAAAAGAAGAGGAAGAGGAAGGCUCACCCAUCUACUCCCUCUCCAAGAGCUCCAUGGACGUAGUCAUGGCAACCAAACACCCGCAUCUGCGAGACCCGGCGUGGGCAAAACUGGAGCUGAGACGGAGCGUCAGCCAAAAUGCACAGUCCUCCCCAAACAGACACACACCAAAACUCACACCCCUGCAGCAAUACAUACAACAACCCACACCCUCACACUCACAGACAUCUCAAAACAUACACGGGCACGGAUCUCCCCUUAGUAACGAGCGUGUGGCGCGUUGGAGUAUGUGUAGCACCAGUAUGUGUAGCAGUGGUAGCACACCAGAGACGGUCAUAUGGAAGGGAGGGAGUAUGACUGAGGAGACCCCGUGCAUCCUGUACUCUGCUCGCUGCUCCCGACUGGCUUCAGAGUCUCAGUCUUCCAUACAAACACCUGCUACACCCUCACCUUUCACCUCACCCCUAAACACACCCACUCAGAGCCCAACCCUACACACACGCCACAACCUACCCCAACUCCAAUACAGACCGUCACCCCUUACCGCAGACACACCCUGUCAGACACACACACCCUCACCUAUGUCCUCACCCCUACCCGUAAUGUCACCCCUACCCUCACCCCUAUCUGUAACCUCACCUCUACCCUCACCUCCAGCUGUAAUAUCGUGCCUACCCUCACCCCUAUCUGUAACCUCACCUCUACCCUCACCUCCAGCUGUAAUAUCAUGCCUACCCUCACCCCUGACCCCUAAAGGAUGCCAACCAAAUCCUUACACAGAUGAGGCCUGUUCCCCCCACAAGCAUCCCUCUUCCCCCUUUCCCUCCCCCUUCCCCUCUCCUUCCUGUAGAGCUCAGGGUGUGGAAGGUCUGGAGGAGAGGGGCAGCAUUGAGCAGGUUCCACCCCAACCAGGGUGCACCCCUAUGGGGAUGUACUAUGUAGAGAAGCCCCCUAUCCUGAGCCCCAGACCCAGCCCUAACAACAACACACCUCCCUUGGGUGUUUCCUUGGGCAUCCCUGUACAGCAGCAAGAAGUGGAGAUGGACCCUCGGGUGUUUUUCCCCAGCCCACCUGCUCACCUGGCAUUGUCAUGGUCACCGAGGCUCACCUGUCCGUCUGGCCGAGGUCAGAGAUCGGCAGGUUUAGUUUCCUCCCUCAGUGACUCACGAUUGGACGGCUGCCCCCGCUGCUCCUGUAACUCCGCCUAUUCAGGGGUCAUGAACUUGAUGACAUCAUUACCCCAGGGGUCAGCGUUCAGGGAGGAGGGGACAAUGA
rnacentral:lncRNA from 1 species